CAUAUACUCCCUCCGUCCCAAAAUUCUUGUCUUAAAUUUUUCUAAAUACGGAUGUAUCAAGUCAUGUUUUAGUAUUAGAUACAUCCGUAUCUAGACUAAUCUAAGACAAGAAUUUUGGGACGGAGGGAGUACUAU
rnacentral:pre_miRNA from 1 species